rnacentral:lncRNA from 1 species
CACACGGCAUACAUCGCUGCGUUUACUCAUGACCAGCCCUGGGCUUUACACAGAGGUGCCUUCGGCGGGCUGCUCAAGAUGCCCCUCCUUCUUCUUGUCCUCCGGUUUCAUCGCUGGGAACAGAAGCACCUCCUUGAUAUUACUGGAAUCAGUAAGGAACAUGGUGAAGCGAUCGAUUCCCAUGCCCCAGCCAGCUGUAGGGGGAAGGCCAUACUCCAGUGCAGUGCAGAAGUUUUCAUCGAUAAACAUGGCUUCAUCAUCACCUGCAGCUUUUGCCUAAAUGAGAAAAUAAGCAGUAGGGGGUGUCUGCACAGAGUCAGGAUAGUACCAAUGCUAUUAACCCCUACCAGAAAGGAGGAAUGUGUCUGUAGCAGCCAUGUCACUGACGGAACUAAGUCCCUCUACAGCCACACAAGUCAGUGACAGAUGAAGGAACCUCAGCACCUGUAAAGUUGUGGAGGUGCCCUGUACACGUUUCCAAAUCAACCCUAAGUUCAGUUCCCUUACAACCCAGAAAUUUCUUUUCCAGGGUCAGCCUCCUCCCCGUAGUGAAAGCCAGAUCUGGAGAUACACAGCAGCAGACCAGAGCGCAAUUAAUUGCUUUCAAACAUUUCUCAGGCUGUUAAUUGAUUCCAAGUCUCCCUUUAGUGUUUACAGAAACAGUUAAGGACCAGAGUUAUUGGAAUCACCGCUAACUUUGUUUCAUGAAACAAAAUUAAGUGGUUGUUUAUUUUCCUUCAAGUAGAAAGAUUAAAACCCCACAACACUGGGAUCUUAACUGCUACUUCUUAUGUAAACUUACUCAGACAGCCUCCAAGUGCUAAAGGUGAUAAUAAUAAAUACAUCUUAAUUGUAACUGUUGAAACAACAAACAUUUGGCCUCACAUAGUUUCAAGAAAGAUUCUGCAGAAGUUCUAAAGCAAAAUACUCUGCCUGAGUCUGAAAUCCUAAAAUAUGAACUGACACUCUUCAAAUUCAAUUUCCACCUUAUCAUGAAAAUUUCCCUGAAAAUAUAAUUCUAUACACACAAUCAAAGGGCUACAAAAACUGGUUGUAAUUAUAAAGAGACAAGCGCAGCAAACAUGCACACAGCAGGCCAAAGGGCAAGGCAUGUUUAAUAGUAUUCAUUAUGAAAUUUACUAUCAAGUUAUUUAACGUAAUUAUAUUUUCCAGGGUUUGACAAUUGUUUAAUCCUCUCAGGUAUUGCAAAGCCACCAGAAAAAAUAGGAAGAACAGGAACUCCUUCUGCAGACUGUACCAUUUGACCUCAAUCACAUGUGCACAUAUACGUCCAUGUGUAUGCAUAUGUAAUUAAUAACAAAAUCAGUAUAGACAUCUAGUUCUAUACAUUUGUUGGUCUAAUAGUUUCCAAUAUGCAACUCUAUUACGUGAACCAAUUUAAAAGAACUCAGUUCUGAAAAUAGAUAUGUCAUUCCAUUCAAACUCUUACUGGACAUGGAAAAUUAUUUAAGAAGCUAGAAGUAUCGUGUUGUAUGUUUACA